GUAAAGUUUUGUUUAAACCGAAAAAAUAUUGACUGACUUUAGAUUUUUCUCUGGAAUAUGUGUUUUUUUGGAGAGCCCUCUUUUAUAGUGAAUUUUGUUGGCGCAUGUAUGAUUGUUUAGUUUUUACUUUUUUGGUAAUGCUUUGUGUUUUAUACAUUUAAAACAGAUAUAUAUUUGGCUUAUGGAUUUAUUUUUCAUGUGUUACUAUUGUUAAUUUUCUUUGGAUUAAUUUUUAAUUUUUUUGUUGAAAUUGGAAAAGAAAGUAA
rnacentral:rRNA from 1 species